UGGUGGAGCGAUUUGUCUGGUUUAUUCCGAUAACGAACGAGACUCCGGCCUACUAAAUAGUGACUGGAUCUCUUAGUCCAGUAUACUUCUUAGAGGGACAAGUGGCGUUUAGCCACAUGAAAUGGAGCAAUAACA
rnacentral:rRNA from 1 species